rnacentral:lncRNA from 1 species
AAGAGGCUGGGUUGGCGGAUUGGGGAUGGUUAGAAAGUUUCUAUUAGGGAAGACGUUUGGAUACCUGGAGAUGAACAUAUCAGAAUUUAGAAUAUGAAUAAUAAUCAGAGUCUCAUUAAAGUUGCGGAUCUAAUUGAUACAAAUUCUAAACAAUAGAAGUCUGAUCUGAUCCAUUUUACCUUUGAAGAACAGAUUGUAGAAAGGAUUCUCUGUAUUCCUCUUCCUUUGUUUGAGUAUGAAGACUCUCUUAUUUGGUGGGGUGAGUUGUUAGGUGAGUACUUAGUUCGAAGUGGUCACAGACUUCUUUUACAAGACGGACAUAAUCAAUUACAUAUAGAUCACAAGCAAUUUUACAAAAAAUUAUGGAAAUUAGAUUUACCCUCUAAAACCAAAAUUAUAGUCUGGAGAUUGUUAUGCAACUAUCUGCCUAGUUUUAGUAAUCUUCACUUUUGCAUAAUGAUGGCUUCCCCCACGUGUCAAAUAUGUCAAACAGGAGCAGAAACAAGGGAACAUAUAUUUCAGGAAUGUUCUCAUACAAAAGAUACAUGAGAGCAGUUACAUAUGGCAUGGCUUCCAGAUGACAACUCAGACUUUACAGUUUGGUUGAAAAAUACCUUUGAGUCCAGAUCCAUGGCUUUGUGUAGAAUAACAGUAUGUGUUUUAUGAGCGAUAUGGACGUGUCGAAACAAAUUUUUUCAUGAGGGGGAAAACCAAUCAGGUGUUCAAAUUGCUAGUUUUGUGCAAAAUUAUUUAAAGAAACUUGAUGGUCUAAAAAGCUCUAUACCUAAAAAAAAGAUCUGUGUAGACAGAUGGCCUGCUCCGAUGGGAUCAAGAUUGAAAUUAAACUUCGACGCAGCUUUAACAACCACAACAAUGAGUCGUACUCGGGGUUAGUGAUUCGUAACAGUAAAGCAGAGGUCAUUUGUUCUAAAACAGAAAUGAACUUGAACAUACCGUCUGUUUUUGCCGUAGAAGUAGUGGCGUGUCUUCAGGCACUGAAGUUGGGGUUACAACUUAGGUUGAGGGAGGUGGAGGUUGAAUGUGACUCUCGGUCGGUCAUCCGGAAGCUGCAAGAGGAAAAUGAGGACAGAUCUGAGAUUUCUGUGUAUAUCAAAGAUUCUUAGAACCUUAGUUGUCAAAUUUAGUCUUUGUGUUUUUUCUUUUUACAAACAGGGAGUCUAACAAAGUCACUCAUUGUUUAGCACAAGAAGGACUUAAGAAUAGAGAAACCACUUAUUUGUCAAAUCUGGUAUUUUCUAGUGCGACGGAGGCGGUGGCUGAAUAUAGAAGGUGGACCAAGGCGAUGAGUGAGGACAGGGGAAUAAUAUAUGAAAGGGCUGAAGAAAGUGUUUUGCAAUUUUGAUUAUGGUGAGAGUUUCAAUUGGGUUUUUUCAAUGUGCAUCGGGGUAAUGAAAAGUUUUGAUAGGAUAGAUAUGAUGGGUAAUUAAAGCACCUGUUGGUUUUGCUUCCCCAUGCGGUUUCUUGCUAUUUUCCAAAAGGGGUUUCAAUUAUUGGAGUUAACUAGAGAACGAUGUCUCUAGAGCUCCCCUUAUUGCUGUUUGCUGGAUUUUGUUUUUGGGCUAUUUUUCGGUUUUGCUUUGGAUUAUUUUUGUUUUAGGCUUUUGUUUGUUUGGUUUUUUAGUCUGUUUGUUCAGACUGGUCUUUUAAGACCCAUGACCUUAUGGCUUUGAUUUUGUGUUGGCCUUUUUGAAUAAAAUCCAGCGAUUAUU